CCCUUAGAUGUUCUGGGCAGCACGCGCGCUACAAUGGUCUUCGCAAACGGAUGCAUUCUCGAAGGAGAAUGCCAAUCUUGGAAUCUAUGCCUUGGUCGGGACAGUUGCUUGCAAUUUUUCGACUCGAACCAGGAAUUCCUUGUAAUCGUGAUUCAUCACAUCACGAUGAAUACGUCCCUGCCCUUUGUACACACCGCCCGUCGCUCCUACCGAUUGAAUGGUCCGGUGAAGUCUUCGGACAGUGGCAGUUUACUGCUACUGAAAGUUGAGUGAACCUUACCAUUUAGAGGAAGGUGAAGUCGUAACA
rnacentral:rRNA from 1 species